AGUCCUGAGGUGUUAACAUGUUAGAUUGCAAAUCUGAAGUAGCCGGCUAACGCCGGCCGGGGCUU
rnacentral:tRNA from 4 species